rnacentral:rRNA from 1 species
GACGAACGCUGGCGGCGUGCUUAACACAUGCAAGUCGAACGGGAAGGCCCUGCUUUUGUGGGGUGCUCGAGUGGCGAACGGGUGAGUAACACGUGAGUAACCUGCCCUUGACUUUGGGAUAACUUCAGGAAACUGGGGCUAAUACCGGAUAGGAGCUCCUGCUGCAUGGUGGGGGUUGGAAAGUUUCGGCGGUUGGGGAUGGACUCGCGGCUUAUCAGCUUGUUGGUGGGGUAGUGGCUUACCAAGGCUUUGACGGAUAGCCGGCCUGAGAGGGUGACCGGCCACAUUGGGACUGAGAUACGGCCCAGACUCCUACGGGAGGCAGCAGUGGGGAAUAUUGCACAAUGGGCGGAAGCCUGAUGCAGCAACGCCGCGUGCGGGAUGACGGCCUUCGGGUUGUAAACCGCUUUCGCCUGUGACGAAGCGUGAGUGACGGUAAUGGGUAAAGAAGCACCGGCUAACUACGUG